CCAAAGGCUCUUUUCAGAGCCACCCACUGCUUCGGAAAGAGAGCUG
rfam:Eurypyga helias contig80344, whole genome shotgun sequence.